UCCCUGGUGGUCCAGUGGUUAAGACUCUGCACUUCUAAUGAGGGGGGCCUGGGUUCAAUUCCUGGUCAGGGAA